UUAAGCGACUAAGCGUACACGGUGGAUGCCCUGGCAGUCAGAGGCGAUGAAGGACGUGCUAAUCUGCGAUAAGCGUCGGUAAGGUGAUAUGAACCGUUAUAACCGGCGAUUUCCGAAUGGGGAAACCCAGUGUGUUUCGACACACUAUCAUUAACUGAAUCCAUAGGUUAAUGAGGCGAACCGGGGGAACUGAAACAUCUAAGUACCCCGAGGAAAAGAAAUCAACCGAGAUUCCCCCAGUAGCGGCGAGCGAACGGGGAGCAGCCCAGAGCCUGAAUCAGUGUGUGUGUUAGUGGAAGCGUCUGGAAAGGCGCGCGAUACAGGGUGACAGCCCCGUACACAAAAAUGCACAUGCUGUGAGCUCGAUGAGUAGGGCGGGACACGUGGUAUCCUGUCUGAAUAUGGGGGGACCAUCCUCCAAGGCUAAAUACUCCUGACUGACCGAUAGUGAACCAGUACCGUGAGGGAAAGGCGAAAAGAACCCCGGCGAGGGGAGUGAAAAAGAACCUGAAACCGUGUACGUACAAGCAGUGGGAGCCUCUUUUAUGGGGUGACUGCGUACCUUUUGUAUAAUGGGUCAGCGACUUAUAUUCUGUAGCAAGGUUAACCGAAUAGGGGAGCCGAAGGGAAACCGAGUCUUAACUGGGCGUUAAGUUGCAGGGUAUAGACCCGAAACCCGGUGAUCUAGCCAUGGGCAGGUUGAAGGUUGGGUAACACUAACUGGAGGACCGAACCGACUAAUGUUGAAAAAUUAGCGGAUGACUUGUGGCUGGGGGUGAAAGGCCAAUCAAACCGGGAGAUAGCUGGUUCUCCCCGAAAGCUAUUUAGGUAGCGCCUCGUGAAUUCAUCUCCGGGGGUAGAGCACUGUUUCGGCAAGGGGGUCAUCCCGACUUACCAACCCGAUGCAAACUGCGAAUACCGGAGAAUGUUAUCACGGGAGACACACGGCGGGUGCUAACGUCCGUCGUGAAGAGGGAAACAACCCAGACCGCCAGCUAAGGUCCCAAAGUCAUGGUUAAGUGGGAAACGAUGUGGGAAGGCCCAGACAGCCAGGAUGUUGGCUUAGAAGCAGCCAUCAUUUAAAGAAAGCGUAAUAGCUCACUGGUCGAGUCGGCCUGCGCGGAAGAUGUAACGGGGCUAAACCAUGCACCGAAGCUGCGGCAGCGACGCUUAUGCGUUGUUGGGUAGGGGAGCGUUCUGUAAGCCUGCGAAGGUGUACUGUGAGGUAUGCUGGAGGUAUCAGAAGUGCGAAUGCUGACAUAAGUAACGAUAAAGCGGGUGAAAAGCCCGCUCGCCGGAAGACCAAGGGUUCCUGUCCAACGUUAAUCGGGGCAGGGUGAGUCGACCCCUAAGGCGAGGCCGAAAGGCGUAGUCGAUGGGAAACAGGUUAAUAUUCCUGUACUUGGUGUUACUGCGAAGGGGGGACGGAGAAGGCUAUGUUGGCCGGGCGACGGUUGUCCCGGUUUAAGCGUGUAGGCUGGUUUUCCAGGCAAAUCCGGAAAAUCAAGGCUGAGGCGUGAUGACGAGGCACUACGGUGCUGAAGCAACAAAUGCCCUGCUUCCAGGAAAAGCCUCUAAGCAUCAGGUAACAUCAAAUCGUACCCCAAACCGACACAGGUGGUCAGGUAGAGAAUACCAAGGCGCUUGAGAGAACUCGGGUGAAGGAACUAGGCAAAAUGGUGCCGUAACUUCGGGAGAAGGCACGCUGAUAUGUAGGUGAAGUCCCUCGCGGAUGGAGCUGAAAUCAGUCGAAGAUACCAGCUGGCUGCAACUGUUUAUUAAAAACACAGCACUGUGCAAACACGAAAGUGGACGUAUACGGUGUGACGCCUGCCCGGUGCCGGAAGGUUAAUUGAUGGGGUUAGCGCAAGCGAAGCUCUUGAUCGAAGCCCCGGUAAACGGCGGCCGUAACUAUAACGGUCCUAAGGUAGCGAAAUUCCUUGUCGGGUAAGUUCCGACCUGCACGAAUGGCGUAAUGAUGGCCAGGCUGUCUCCACCCGAGACUCAGUGAAAUUGAACUCGCUGUGAAGAUGCAGUGUACCCGCGGCAAGACGGAAAGACCCCGUGAACCUUUACUAUAGCUUGACACUGAACAUUGAGCCUUGAUGUGUAGGAUAGGUGGGAGGCUUUGAAGUGUGGACGCCAGUCUGCAUGGAGCCGACCUUGAAAUACCACCCUUUAAUGUUUGAUGUUCUAACGUUGACCCGUAAUCCGGGUUGCGGACAGUGUCUGGUGGGUAGUUUGACUGGGGCGGUCUCCUCCUAAAGAGUAACGGAGGAGCACGAAGGUUGGCUAAUCCUGGUCGGACAUCAGGAGGUUAGUGCAAUGGCAUAAGCCAGCUUGACUGCGAGCGUGACGGCGCGAGCAGGUGCGAAAGCAGGUCAUAGUGAUCCGGUGGUUCUGAAUGGAAGGGCCAUCGCUCAACGGAUAAAAGGUACUCCGGGGAUAACAGGCUGAUACCGCCCAAGAGUUCAUAUCGACGGCGGUGUUUGGCACCUCGAUGUCGGCUCAUCACAUCCUGGGGCUG
rnacentral:rRNA from 1 species